rnacentral:rRNA from 1 species
UUGGACAAUGGGCGGAAGCCUGAUCCAGCCAUGCCGCGUGAAGGACUAAGGCCCUAUGGGUCGUAAACUUCUUUUGACGCAGAGCAAUAAGGGACACGUGUGUUCCGAUGAGAGUAUGCGUCGAAUAAGCAUCGGCUAACUCCGUGCCAGCAGCCGCGGUAAUACGGAGGAUGCGAGCGUUAUCCGGAUUUAUUGGGUUUAAAGGGUGCGUAGGCUGUCGGUUAAGUCAGCGGUGAAAUCAGCACGCUUAACGUGUUGUUUGCCGUUGAAACUGUCCGUCUUGAAUGCGCUCGUCGUGGGAGGAAUGUGUGGUGUAGCGGUGAAAUGCAUAGAUAUCACACAGAACACCGAUUGCGAAGGCAUCUCACGAGAGCGUUAUUGACGCUGAUGCACGAAAAGCGCGGGUAUCGAACAGGAUUAGGAUACCCUGGGUAGUCCCGCGCUGUAAACGAUGAUGACUAACCUGUUGGUUCUAAUGGGAUCAGUGGUCCAAGCGAAAGCGUUAAGUCAUCCACCUGGGGGAGUACGGCCGCGAAGGCUGGAAACUCGAAAGACUGGACCGGGGGCCCGCAACAAGCGGAUGAACAUGUAGGUUUAA